rnacentral:rRNA from 3 species
UACGAACUGUGCGAACGUUAUUCGGAAUCACUGGGCUUAAAGGGUGCGUAGGCGGCGGCACAAGUCAGGUGUGAAAUCCCCCGGCUCAACCGGGGAACAGCGCUUGAAACUAGGUCGCUCGAGUGAGGCAGGGGUGUAUGGAACUUCCGGUGGAGCGGUGAAAUGUGUAGAUAUCGGAAGGAACGCCGGCGGCGAAAGCGGUACACUGGGCCUUGUCUGACGCUGAGGCACGAAAGCUAGGGGAGUGAACGGG